rnacentral:lncRNA from 1 species
UUAAGAAAAGUAUUUAAAAAUACAACUUAUUCAUGAAAAACUCUCAAAGAAUACUCAUCUAUCCACAAAUAUUCUUGUUAUCCUAAUUUCUAAAUCACAAACCCAAAUCUACAGUAUUUCUCAAAAAAGUGAAAACUUUUGAAAAAUAACACUUUUUAUUAAAAUAAUUUUAAAAUACAACCUAUUGAUGAAAAACUCUGAAAGAAUACUCAUCUAUCCACUAAUAUUCUUGAUAUUCUAAUUUCUAAAUCACAAACCCAAAUCUACAAUGUUUCUCAAAAAAAUGAAAACUUUCCAAAAAUAGCAGCUUUUAUGAAAAUUAUUUAAAAAUACAACAUAUUGAUGAAAAACUCAGAAAGAAUACUCAUCUAUCCACAAAUAUUCUUGUUAUCACAAUUUCUAAAUCACAAAUUCAAAGCUAUAAAAUUUCACAAAAAAUGAAAACUUUCCAAAAAUAGCAACUUUUUAAAAAAUUAUUUAAAAAUACAACUUAUUCAUGAAAAACUCUCAAAG